UACGUAGGGGGCAAGCGUUGUCCGGAUUUAUUGGGCGUAAAGAGCGUGUAGGCGGUUUGGUAGGUCCGCUGUGAAAACUCGAGGCUCAACCUCGAGACGUCGGUUGAAACCGUGUGGCUAGAGUCCGGAAGAGGAGAGUGGAAUUCCCGGUGUAGCGGUGAAAUGCGCAGAUAUCGGGAAGAACACCCGUGGCGAAGGCGGCUCUCUGGGACGGUACUGACGCUGAGACGCGAAAGCGUGGGGAGCGAACAGG
rnacentral:rRNA from 1 species